rnacentral:rRNA from 1 species
UGGGGAAUAUUGCACAAUGGGCGCAAGCCUGAUGCAGCCAUGCCGCGUGUAUGAAGAAGGCCUUCGGGUUGUAAAGUACUUUCAGUCGGGAGGAAGGUGUCAAGGUUAAUAACCUUGGCAAUUGACGUUACCGACAGAAGAAGCACCGGCUAACUCCGAGCCAGCAGCCGCGGUAAUACGGAGGGUGCAAGCGUUAAUCGGAAUUACUGGGCGUAAAGCGCACGCAGGCGGUUGAUUGAGUCAGAUGUGAAAUCCCCGGGCUUAACCCGGGAAGUGCAUCUGAUACUGGUCAGCUAGAGUCUUGUCGAGGGAGGUAGAAUUCCGUGUGUAGCGGUGAAAUGCGUAGAGAUGUGGAGGAAUACCGGUGGCGAAGGCGGCCCCCUGGACAAAGACUGACGCUCAGGUGCGAAAGCGUGGGGAGCAAACAGG